UAGGUCUCUGGGCUAUCCAGUCUGUGGUU
rnacentral:piRNA from 1 species